GAAUUCGCCCUUAGAGUUUGUUUCUGGCUCAGGAUGAACGCUGGCGGCGUGCCUAACACAUGCAAGUCGAACGGGUGUACGGGAUGGAAGGCUCCGGCCGGAAGCCCCGUGCAUGAGUGGCGGACGGGUGAGUAACGCGUGGGCAACCUGCCCUGUACAGGGGGACAACACUUAGAAAUAGGUGCUAAUACCGCAUAACGGGGGGAGCCGCAUGGCACCCCCCUGAAAACUCCGGUGGUACAGGAUGGGCCCGCGUCUGAUUAGCUAGUUGGCAGGGUAACGGCCUACCAAGGCGACGAUCAGUAGCCGGCCUGAGAGGGCGGACGGCCACACUGGGACUGAGACACGGCCCAGACUCCUACGGGAGGCAGCAGUGGGGGAUAUUGCACAAUGGGGGGAACCCUGAUGCAGCGACGCCGCGUGGGUGAAGGAGCGUUUCGGCGCGUAAAGCCCUAUCGGCAGGGAAGAAGGAGGACGGUACCUGACUAAGAAGCCCCGGCUAACUACGUGCCAGCAGCCGCGGUAAUACGUAGGGGGCAAGCGUUAUCCGGAUUUACUGGGUGUAAAGGGGGCGCAGACGGCAGCGCAAGCCAGGAGUGAAAGCCCGGGGCCCAACCCCGGGACUGCUCUUGGAACUGCGCGGCUGGAGUGCAGGAGGGGCAGGCGGAAUUCCUGGUGUAGCGGUGAAAUGCGUAGAUAUCAGGAGGAACACCGGUGGCGAAGGCGGCCUGCUGGACAGUAACUGACGCUGAGGCGCGAAAGCGUGGGGAGCAAACAGGAUUAGAUACCCUGGUAGUCCACGCCGUAAACGAUGGAUACUAGGUGUGGGGGGGACUGACCCCCUCCGUGCCGCAGCUAACGCAAUAAGUUAUCCCACCUGGGGAGUACGAUCGCAAGGUUGAAACUCAAAGGAAUUGACGGGGGCCCGCACAAGCGGUGGAGUAUGUGGUUUAAUUCGAAGCAACGCGAAGAACCUUACCAGGGCUUGGCAUCCUACUAACGAGGUAGAGAUACGUUAGGUGCCCUUCGGGGAAAGUAGAGACAGGUGGUGCAUGGUUGUCGUCAGCUCGUGUCGUGAGAUGUUGGGUUAAGUCCCGCAACGAGCGCAACCCUUAUUGUUAGUUGCUACGCAAGAGCACUCUAGCGAGACUGCCGUUGACAAAACGGAGGAAGGUGGGGACGACGUCAAAUCAUCAUGCCCCUUACGUCCUGGGCCACACACGUACUACAAUGGCGGCCAACAAAGAGAGGCGAGACCGCGAGGUGGAGCAAAUCUCAAAAAGCCGUCCCAGUUCGGAUCGCAGGCUGCAACCCGCCUGCGUGAAGUUGGAAUCGCUAGUAAUCGCGGAUCAGCAUGCCGCGGUGAAUACGUUCCCGGGCCUUGCACUCACCGCCCGUCA
rnacentral:rRNA from 1 species